GCUUCUUUAGCUCAGUUGGUACGAGCGUUCGACUGAAGAUUUCAGUUCUUUGCAGCAAGAACCGUUAGGAACUCAGCCGCCAUUCGAAAGGUCACCUGUUCGACCCAGGUAAGGAGCA